GACGAACGCUGGCGGCGUGCUUAACACAUGCAAGUCGAGCGGAGCGGCGAACGGGUGAGUAACGCGUGAGUAACUGCCCCCCUCUCUGGGAUAACAGUUGGAAACGGCUGCUAAUACCGGAUAGUGGGGGAUGACUCGCGUCCUAUCUGCUUGUUGGUCGGGUAGUGGCCUACCAAGGGGACGACGGGUAGCCGGCCUGAGAGGGCGACCGGCCACUUUGGGCUGAGAUCCGGCCCAAAUACCUACGGGAGGCAGCGCUGGGGGUUAUUGCACAAUGGGGGAAACCCUGAUGCAGCAACCCGCGUGCGUGAUGACGGCCUUCGGGUUGUAAGCCGCUUUCAGCCAUGACUCGGUAGUCGCAGGAGAGGCACCGACUCACUCCGUGCCAGCAGCCGCGGUAAUUC
rnacentral:rRNA from 1 species